rnacentral:lncRNA from 1 species
UCUCUAUACUUCAUCUCCACGCUCUCAUAUCUAACCCUAGACCUGCCGCCCUAUACUCCUUUACCAUCUUCAACUGGCGGUGGAGCUCAAACUUCCACUAAAAUCCAACCAUACCACUAUCACUCAUCCCUGAGUCCCAAUCCAAGACCACUUCUCCCAAAUACUCAUUGAAUCGGACCUGUAUAGAAUCUAAAAACGAAGAAAAGAAAAUUUUUCAAGUCUUCAAGUUUCAAUGAACGAUUGGACCUGAAACUAGUAUUGUUCUUUUGUUCUCAAAGAGAACAUGCGGUUAAUACCAACUUCGGAUCAAAUCAAAGUCGCCUAAGGUUUUUCAAGCUCUAUCCGUGUGACCAUCUACAUAUCUCUAUUCUUUUCUCCUUCUUCUCCGUCUUCUGUUCUUUUCUUGUCCUCGUCUCCUUCUGUUUCUUCUCUUUUUUUCUUAUUUUAAUGUUUAAACGUAAUUCUAUUUGCAUGAUUCGGAUUCUGAGUCUUUCUCUUCUUCAAUUUGGGUGUAUUUUGGCUCUUAAUGAAAUGGAAAUUAGAAUAUCAAUAUCUUGGUAUAAUUUGAUUGAUCAGUUGAUUUAAUUGCUUUAAAUUACUGUUUCCCGAGCAUCUCUAUUAAAAUAUUUUUCUUCUGAAAAAUUCAUAGGUUUGUUUGUUUAAAAGUUUCAACUAAGUUCAGGGUUUGAAAACUCAGUUUGGGCUAUAGUAUACAUGUCCAUAGGUUGGGGUUUUGGUUUAAAUUGACCCAUAAGUUGAGUUUCUCUGAAGGUAAAUAGCAACUUCUUGGAGGGUAUUUGGGAGAUUUUAAUGGAGGGAAUUUUUUGUAACUGCCUAAGGAAGCUGCCAGGAAAGUGGGGGAAGGGAUUGGUUUGCAAAAUAUAUUUUAAAUUAGGGCCUGAAGUGAGUAGAGGGAAUUUAGGGAAGGGGUAAAUGGUAAGUUUGAAAACUAACUACUGCUACCCGAAACCCCUCUAUAAAGGUCCUAUUUCCUGAAUUAUCAAGGGAGAUCAGAAGUUAGGAAUUAGAAACGGCUAAAAAACAAAAACACUGAAAAAAGUUUGAAGAAUCAGAAGAAAAUACAAAAAAAAAAACCGCAAAACACCAUUACUUUAAAGCUUUUUGUGUAAUUAUUUGGGUUUUAAAGUUUGAAGUAAUCCUGGAUUCAUUCUGGGCUUGAAAUAGUUUAAAGGAGCUGAAUUUGCCAUUGAUCUGCUGAAGUGCAUCUGACUCUGCUGCUGAUCUUCUCACCUUUUUCUUUGCUCUAAUUUUUCCAAGUAUUCUUUUGAACUGUGACUGGAAAUGAAGCUUGAUUGAGUUUAUGUGUGAAGAGCUGUAAACCAAGCUGAAGUAAAUCAAAAACAUUAGUCCCUGUUGUUGAUUACUGCUUGACUCUGUCAUAUUUUAUUCAUGUUUUUUUCUAGUCUAGCUUGUUUUGUAUACUUCAUUCCCUGAUAUUAAAUUUGGCCUUGAGUGCUGGAUUUGGACUUUGUUUGAAUAUAGUUGAUUCAAGAGCGCUUUAGACUUAGCAUAAUAUGUAUUAAUUGAGGAUUGUAACUUUUAGUUUAAUUAGUUGAGGCUGGCUGGUUUGGAUGUACUUUUCAUAGCUAUGGUUUAAAUGCUUAUCAGUUUAGAUCAUUCAUGUUGUUGGUCUAGCAAACUUGAUUUAGGUUAACUCCUAUUAAUCAUUUUAGACUUACUCCUGUAUAGCUUGAAACAUAGUCCAAUGAUUUCAGGAUUGUCACUUUCUACUUUUGCUUGUGUUGAGCACCUUGCUUUUUUAAAAAUGACUUUCGAAUGGGAUUUGAGCUUAAACUUAGACUUGAAAAUUAUCACAUUUUGAUUAGCUCAUCACAUUUGAUUUUAUUUGGAAAGUUUCGAGUCGUGUGGCCUUGUUUAAAUGUGUUGGUUUGAAUCAGAACUUAGCAUGAGUUGUGAUCUUGAGUUUUGAUGUUAAAUAAUGAACAAUUUGUGUAAAGGCUUGUUAUUAUAACUGGGAAUCUUAUUUUCAUUAUAGAAUGAAUGCUGG